CAGUAGCCGCGGUAAUACGUAGGGUGCAAGCGUUAAUCGGAAUUACUGGGCGUAAAGCGUGCGCAGGCGGUUACUCAAGUCAGAGGUGAAAGCCCGGGGCUCAACCCCGGAACUGCCUUUGAAACUAGGUGACUAGAAUCUUGGAGAGGUCAGUGGAAUUCCGAGUGUAGAGGUGAAAUUCGUAGAUAUUCGGAAGAACACCAGUGGCGAAGGCGACUGACUGGACAAGUAUUGACGCUGAGGUGCGAAAGCGUGGGGAGCAAACAGGAUUAGAUACCCGCGUAGUCCCUGUCUCUUAUAC
rnacentral:rRNA from 1 species